UGGGGAAUUUUCCGCAAUGGGCGAAAGCCUGACGGAGCAAUACCGCGUGAGGGAGGAAGGCUCUUGGGUUGUAAACCUCUUUUCUCAAGGAAGAACACAACGACGGUACUUGAGGAAUCAGCAUCGGCUAACUCCGUGCCAGCAGCCGCGGUAAUACGGAGGAUGCAAGCGUUAUCCGGAAUGAUUGGGCGUAAAGCGUCCGCAGGUGGUGAUGUAAGUCUGCUGUCAAAGCGUCUAGCUCAACUAGAUACAGGCAGUGGAAACUACAUGACUAGAGUGCGUUCGGGGCAGAGGGAAUUUCUGGUGUAGCGGCGAAAUGCGUAGAUAUCAGGAAGAACACCGGUGGCGAAAGCGCUCUGCUAGGCCGCAACUGACACUGAGGGACGAAAGCUAGGGGAGCGAAUGGGAUUAGAUACCCCAGUAGUCCUAGCCGUAAACGAUGGAUACUAGGCGUGGCUUGUAUCGACCCGAGCCGUGCCGUAGCUAACGCGUUAAGUAUCCCGCCUGGGGAGUACGCACGCAAGUGUGA
rnacentral:rRNA from 1 species